rnacentral:tRNA from 1 species
UCCCUGGUGGUCUAGUGGUUAAGAAUUCAGCUUUGUCAUGCUGUGGCUCAGGUUUGAUUCCUGGCCUGGGAA